ACUGGUAAUAGUGAAACCUCAGUAGUACUUGCCUAAAAAAGUUUUACAUUUUUUUUUGUGAAAUAAAUUAAUUUUAUUUAUAAGGAAAAUGGACUGCAAAAUUAAUCAUCCAGUGUAGUAUGUGGUUGUUGUUAUUAAUAUAAUUUUUUUUGGGUUUUUUUUGAGGGGGAAUGGUAUUUUUCUAUUAUGUAGCUUGUUUUUUUUUAAUUUACUGGUUGAUAUGUAUAGUCUGGGUUUCCCGUUGUAUUUACAUAUGGAAUACAAUGUCUUGGAGUAGAAUUGAAUCAGAGUGCAAGAAAAGGACUAUUUCGAAGGCUGCUCUACACGCAUUUCAGCGACUUGAUUCACAUGAAUACCAUCGUCUAACCAAAAUAUGUCUUUCUAUUUUUAGUAUACUUUUUGUAUUUCCUUUACGUGGAUUAAUUUUAAUCAUAUUAUGUGCACUUUCCGCAAUUUUUUCGUUAUUUCUUCCUCAAAUUCAUGAUGGAAACGUCAGCCGUCGUUGUUUUUUGUUGAGACUAUGCGUUUGUAACAAAAUUGUAUCAUGUUUCAUGAGCGUUUUAUUGACGGUAAUGGGUUUAAUCAUAGUGGACAAUUUUCCUGAAGCCUCUAGAAAAAAAAUACCUCAAGAUGAAAUUAUCGUUUCAAAUCACGUAUCCAUUCUAGAUAUUAUUUAUUUUAUGUCACGCUUAGGACUUCCUAGUUUUGUUUCUAAAUCAUCUGUGGCGAAAUUACCGUUAAUAUCACGAUUUUCUAACGCAAUGAAUUGCAUAUAUGUGAAUCGGGAUUCUGUUGAAAAUCGAUCCCAAGCUUUAGAGAGCAUCCAUAAUCGACAACGAAAUAUUUCCAACGGUGAAUCUCUUAAUACUCUCAUACUGUUUGCAGAGGGUACGACCUCAAAUGGUCACACAAUACUACCUUUUAAAAACGGCGCUUUUUCAACUCUUCAAAAAGUGACGGUUUUUUAUUUUAUCCUUGUACAUAUUUUCAUCCAGCCUUCGAUAUUCUUGAUCCUAUGGUUUACAUAACAUUACUUGUUGCCUCUGUAAUUUCUCACCAAAUUGUUUUCAUCUUAUUAGCUAUUCCAUAUGCUCUAUUUUAGCCUGUACCUUGCCGUCUUUACACCACAUGGAUUUUUAAUGUUAGCCCAGAAAUUUUACCCCCAAAAAAUUCAGACGCUCAAUGCGUAAAGCAUUUUAAAAAUAAAGUGUACAAUGAAGCUUUAUGUGUACUGCAAAAACAGCAAACUAAAUAUUAUGGUUUUAAUACAACAUCUUCAGAAUUUUUGCAAGAUCUUUUAUUUAUGUCUCAAGACAAAUGGGGUGAUUCGUUAAAAGUUAAAAAACAACUUUAUGAUUGUAUUCACAACAAAGGAUCAUAAUGGCAUUUUUAAAAAUUUACUUAACAAAUAAAACAAAAGUCAUAUACCAGAAUUUUAGUUAAAUUAAUACUACUUUUCUUAAGUUUGUGUAUUGCUAUAAUUUCUUUUACUCCCGAUAGGUCGUUUCAUCAUAUUUUAAAGUUUUUCUACAAAAAGAGACCGUUAAUCAUUUUUUAAAAUACAUUCUUAAAUACUAAAAUAGUAUUUUAGUUAUUUUCAAAUAUUUUAACAAAAAAGCUUUGGUUUUUUUUUUUUUGUUUAUGAAUAAGAAUUUAAAAAGCUUAAAACAAUUGCUUAGCCAAAAAAAUACCAAUUUAAAAAAAAAAAUAUUUUUAAUGGUAAACAUUUUCAUUACGAAAAUUCUUCGCGUUUUGCUGAAUGUAUUAGCUUAACAAAAAGUAAAGUUAUUAGGUUUU